rnacentral:rRNA from 1 species
GAUCCUGGCUCAGGACGAACGCUGGCGGCGCGCCUAGCACAUGCAAGUCGAACGAGAGAUGAGGAGCUUGCUCUUCAGGUCGAGUGGCGAACGGGUGAGUAACGCGUGAGGAACCUGCCUCAAAGAGGGGGACAACAGUUGGAAACGACUGCUAAUACCGCAUAAGCCCACGGCUCGGCAUCGAGCAGAGGGAAAAGGAGUGAUCCGCUUUGAGAUGGCCUCGCGUCCGA